AUGAUGUAUUAGUCAGAACUGAUUAUAAAGUGAGAUAAGUGUAAAAGUGUGACAGUCUCCAUAUGUUAGUCUUGAAAACAUGAAUCAGUUCAGAUUAGCAAUUCUUUUUAACAUGUAGAAUUGCUUGUACAACACAUGUAUUUCUUAAACAAUAACAAAACCAUACAUUUUCAGUGUUGUGAUAUUUUGUCUAAUGCAAAAGACCAAUAUUGUUCAGAAAUCUCUGUCAGUGUGUCAGGAAUGGUGUAUCUAAAUGAUGUUAAGAACUCUGAGAUUUUGGCACUCAUGAGAUUAAAAUAAAGAUGCCUCAAAUAAGAAAAAAUUAAGAUGUUCUUAAUAUCUUAAUACAAAAAUACUCUUGUAUUUAUAUUCCAUUGUGUACUGAUUUCUUAUAUUUGAGUGUGUGUGUACGUACAAGCUUUGAAAGCGUUUCAAGAAGAUCAUUAUAGUUCACUACAAUGCUUCAGGAAUUUUACAAGAAAAUAUAUAUAACAUUUUAGUGAUUUAUGUUGAAAUAGAAUAUAAUUCACUCAUUUUCAGGUGGAUAAUGAGAAGUAAUGGUUUGAAGCUCUAAAUCUGAUUUGUAAUAUCUGGCUGAUAGUGUGAUAGCAUUGAAAAUUCGAUAAGAUUUAGCUGUUGGUAUAUAAGAAUGAUCAACACAGUUAAAUAUGUUUGGACCUGUUAUAUUUUGAAUGGACCAAUUUUGAGCUUCGCUGCUCAUGAUAAAGAUUAUAUAUCAAGGAUUGAUCAUUUACUUUAUGAUAAAAUAACAAAUCCAGUUCCAGGAGAAGGUGACCAGAUUUUAGAUUCUAUUUAUAUUUUCAAUCAAGCCCUAAAUGAAACUAUUCAGGAUUUUAUGAAUGACCAGACGGGCCAAGACAUAGUGGACAUGUUGGUGGAACAGCAAGGUCCAAUAUGUAUAAAACUAUAUCCAGACGAUCACCACCUCAGGGAUGUGUUCGAUUGGGGAAUUCAAGAACUGGGGGAACUGUAUUAUCUUCUUAAUGCCACAAAAAUGCUAUGGAGAGACUUUCGAUAUUUCCUGGUGACCAAAAUGGGUUAUCAGAUAGAGCCCCUACCACGAUUUUUCACUACAACUGCUAAUUACACUGCCACUUAAAUAUUAUAUUUAUUUGUUUUUAAAAUGAUAAUUUUAUUCAAUCCAUUCAUCUUUUUAAUGGAUACAAUAGGAGUCUUCCCUAUUUGAAUAGUCCAAUAAUAUGAAAAGGAACACUCCUUGGUUCGUUAAUUUAUUUAUUACAUUAGCUUACAGAUCAACAAGUAAAUACAUAAUUAUUCACCAUCCAUUCCCGUAGAAUAAAGCAAGUGAAACUGAAGAUACAUUUUUUGUCCUAGAUGGUUGAGAUAUUUCUGGUGUUUGAUGUCAAAGAUAAGUCCCAAGAACUUCAAAUACCUAGUAUUUCACUUGUACAGAAUACAGAAUGCUUUAUUUACUUGAUUAUGGAAAACAGAAUGGUGUCAAAAAAGAAUAAAAUAUGUUUUGUGAUUUUUACAAUAAACUCAUUUUCUCUGAGAA